rnacentral:rRNA from 1 species
GCGUUAAUCGGAAUUACUGGGCGUAAAGCGUGCGCAGGCGGUUGUGCAAGACAGGGGUGAAAUCCCCGGGCUUAACCUGGGAACUGCACUUGUGACUGCACAGCUGGAGUGCGGCAGAGGGGGAUGGAAUUCCGCGUGUAGCAGUGAAAUGCGUAGAUAUGCGGAGGAACACCGAUGGCGAAGGCAAUCCCCUGGGCCUGCACUGACGCUCAUGCACGAAAGCAUGGGGAGCGAACGGG